UGUGACGUCACGAUUCACAGAGUUACUGUAGUGUCGUAAAUAAACAUGGGUAAUAAUGAGAGUACGUAUACAUAUAUGUACGCAUUGAUACAUGUUUAUGUGUUUAUUAUUUUCGUGUGACGUCAUUUAAAGUAUCUUGAUGCACCCGCGCGAGAACGCAAGUAAUAAGAGACCGAGACCAAAAAAAAAAAAAGGAAUAAACUAGUAAGCCUGUGUGUAUUACUCUACGAGUUGAAUGACCUAACGUUCAGAGUUCAAUACACUGCAGCGUCGUCAUGCCACUUACACUACACGGCAACUACACAUUGUAUAUAUUUGCACUUCCUCAGGUAUUUGUCUGAGAUUUUCGCUUCAACAAAAUCAUCUUAUCAUUUUAUUUUGAUGUAUUUAUAUAUAUAUACAUUCAGUGUUAACGGUUUUUCCAUUUAAACUCCAAAAAGAAGAAAAAAAAAAAAAGAGGUUAAAUAUAACCAAAAAAAAUUUUUUUAAACAUUUCAUGAUUAAAUUCCAAAGUCUCUGAUUAAUUAAAUAAGAUAAUUAUCACGCAUUAAAAGAUACUGAAUAAUCGAUACUAAAUAGAAUAAAAUAUUUACAUAUUCAACUGUGUGAUGAUGUGUAGUGUAUGUAAGUACAGUUUAGUAUUAACCUUGAAUCAAAUGGAUUUUUUAUAUUAAAAUACAAGUCUAGAUAGCGAUAAUAAUAUAUUCGUAGAACGAAUAAUUAAUAAUUUAAAAAGACAAUGAAUACAACAAAACUUUUUAGCACAAUAAUAGUGCUUAUUGGACAGUGGUUUACGUCUACUUGCACUUCUAGUCGAUUGGCGUUGAUGUAACAAAACAGUACAAGAUGGUAAACAGUGGUCGUGACUAUUGAAUGUGUUGGAGGGCUGAAGGGAAAUUAAUGGUAGGCGACUAGAAAUAGGGCCAUUGCGCAUGCGCUUUUUCACAUGUUUUAUAUAUAUGUAUAUAUACCUAUACUUAUAUCUAUAGAGAAUUUUCUAUCCAUACUAGUAUACUUUACCCCUACUUUGUUCUCUUACUUAGUCGCACCCGGUUUAUUCUCCCAGCUCCACCCCUCCAACCUCACUCACUUCCCUCAAGUUAGAGUCAGUCGCGCGAGAACCUUUAGUGGGUGAGGUGCCGCGCUCUCUCACUGCCAUUUAUUUAUAGAAUAUACAUGAAAACCUACAUACAUUUAUACAAAUAUGUAUUCAUAUGUAUAUAUUCAUCUAUAAAAUAAAGAAAAAAUUUAAAUAUCAAUAUUUAUAAAUAUGUGAGAUAUUUUAAAUAAUAUUUAUACGUGAAUUUAUUUUUAAAUUCUAAAAAUCCCUUUGAAACUUGAUAAAUUAAUGAAAUAAUAAUCAAUUUAAGUGAAUUGCUAAAUAUUGAUACAAGUUUUGAAGUAUUUAAUUAUCAGAGACAAAAGAAAGGUAUCAAGCUUGGUGUUGUUAUUGAAAAAGUAUUUAAAGAUAAAUUAGUGUUAAUAAUCAUUUUUAUAUGAUCAAUUUGUAUUGUUUGGAUUUAUUUGUCAUUUAAUAAACUUGAUAUUAUGAUAAUUAGUAUUAUAAAUACUCAAAAGAAGUGAUGAAGUUUUGAAAAUAGUGUUUUUGUUCUGAUUCAAUUGGAAAUAACAAAAAAAUAAUAAUAAUAAUAAUAGCAAAUACUGCAGUGAAGUGUAAUUUAUUGUGAUUAACCCAUAUGUUGAUAUACAACGUGAUUACAUAUUGAUAACAACGUAAUCUGUGUAAACAAAAUCAAGUGAUUCGUUAAAAGAGUCAUUUAAACAUAUUCGAAAGUAUUUACUCAGUCGUAACUUAAUUUGAUAGUUGAAUGAAGAACUACUAAGAUAUUUAAAUGGGCUGUGAAAGCAUUUCAGCAGGUGUUAUGGGUAGAUCCAAGUUUUCCUCGUGCAUGCGAGGUACACCUUCGCCUCGGUCUUAUGCUCAAGGUUUUGUCUGACUUUGAUGCUGCUCUCAAACACCUGACGCUUGCAUUUAUCGAUGCUAGCACACCAGCAUUAUUUUCCAAACUUGAAAUUAAAUUUCAUAUUGCUCAUUUAUAUGAAGUUCAAGGAAAAUAUCGUCUUGCUAAAGAGCAUUACGAGACACUCCUCAAAGAAAAAUCCUUACCAUCUCAUUUAAAAGCAGACAUCUGUCGGCAAUUAGGAUGGAUGUAUCAUGUAGUUGACUGUUCAAUUCUAAAUGUUACUCGACCACAAAAACAAGCAUUUGCAAUACAUUGUCUUCAAAAGUCAAUUGAAGCAGAACCAAAGAGUGGUCAAAGUCUUUAUUUAUUGGGUCGUUGUUUAGCAGCUUCUGGAAAAGUACAUGAUGCUUUUAUUGCUUAUAGGAACUCUGUUGAAAAAUCUGAAGGUAAUGCGGACACUUGGUGCAGUAUAGGUGUCCUUUAUCAACAGCAAAACCAACCUAUGGAUGCACUUCAAGCGUAUAUAUGUGCAGUUCAAUUAGAUAAAUCACAUUCUGCUGCAUGGACUAAUUUAGGGAUUUUAUACGAAAGUGUUAGUCAACCUAAAGACGCUCUUGUUUGUUAUGUAAACGCUUCUAGAGGUAAUAAUAAUACAUCAAACUCAUCGAGUUAUUCAAUGAACUUGGGUGGCGUAAAAUCUGGUGGAAACGUUUCGAUGAAUCCAUCUCUUCAACAACGAAUUCAUUUUCUUCAAAGCCAUCUAAGUCAAGCACCAAUGCCUUCUAUUGCUGCCAAGAGACGACAAUUACCGUCAAUUGAAGAAGCAUGGAAUUUACCAAUAAGUGCCGAAAUGUCUAGUAGACAACAACAACCUGCAGUACAAGCAGGUUAUAAGUACACAACUACACCACCGGGACCUCCACCUCCAUAUCCUCAAAAUCAAGCUGCGACUAAUAUUACCACAAAAAGAUUUAAAGCUGGAGAAGAACCGGUAUCUCCUGGUGCGCAGUCCCAAUCUCAACAACAACCACAACAAAAACAACAGUCGCAACAACAAACUCCAACACAGCAACAACAAUCACAACAGCCACCACAAGCGCAACAACAGCAACAAUCUCAACAAUCACCAGCAUUACAACCCCAACGUACACCACCCUUUUAUCUUACAUCUCAACAAUUACAAAUGUUACAACUUUUGCAACAAAAUAGCAAUAAUUUAACGUCACAGCAACAAGGUAUUUUACAACAAUUACAAUUACAAUAUCGAUUAAUGCAACAACAUCAACAACAAUUAAGAAUUCAGCAACAACAAGCUGCUCAACGUGGUUUAAGACCAGGACAGCCAGGUUAUCCACCUGGUUUAACAAAUUUAAGAGAAGGACAAUCAGCAACUCAACAAACAGGAGCUGUAAUAAAAAAUUAUGGAAUAGAUCAACAACAACCACAAGGUGGUACUGUGGCAUUACAAACUGGAUUUUCUGAUACAAAUAUUACUUAUAAUACUGUUGCUACUGGUAAUACUCAACAAAGUCCUGGUAUGCCAUACAAAUCAGCUGCCGAUUCAAGUUAUGCUCAACAAAAUGUUAGUCAAUACAAUCAUUAUCAAUCAAAUCAAUAUACAAUGCAAGGAUAUACUCAAAUGAAUCCUACAACAGGAAAUUAUCCUGAAAACACUGUUAGUAAUAAUAAAGAUAUUGGUGUUACAGAUCAAGAACUUCAAGCUUUAUUAUCUCAAAAAGAUAUAGCUACUUCAUUGGCAGAAGAUUUAUUAAAACAUUUUGGUUCUGAAGAUUUGGAAGUAAAAGAUGAAACACCAUCAGCGAUAAAUAAUGGAACAUUAAGUUCAGGACCAUUUUCACCAUCGAAUAUUGAAAAUAACGAAAGAAUAAAAGAAGUUAAGGUUGAACGAGUUGAUAUGUCAGAGUAUGAUAAUAUUUAUAAAUCAGAAAAAGUUCAUUCAGACACGUUAAAAAUAAAUACGAAAAAUAUUAUCAAGUGUGAAACAACAUCUUCAAAUAUUUAUCAAACUGAUUGUCAUCGUAGUGAACCAGUAUUGAAAUUGGAAAGUUUACGUGAAUCAUCGACAGAGGUUGAAUUUUCAAUUGAUAUGGAUGCUAAAAGUGUUGUUGAAGCAUGUAAAGGUCAUGGCUUAAAAAGUGUACCAAAUUGCUCAAUAUUAUCAGAUCGAUCACCACCACCUGUACCCCCAGAUCCACCAAAUCAAAAGUUAACCAAGGAACAACUUUUACCUCCAACACCAAGUGUAUACUUGGAGAAUAAAAAAGAUGCAUUUAGUCCUCAACUUCAAGAAUUUUGUCUCAAACAUCCAAUUGCUGUGAUUCGAGGUCUUGCAGCAGCAUUAAAACUUGAUCUUGGUUUGUUCUCUACAAAAACAUUAGUUGAAGCAAAUCCUGAUCAUGGGAUUGAGGUGAGAACGCAAAUGCAACAAACAAGUGAUGAAAAUUGGGAUCCAGUGUUGUCGAGGAAGGUUUGGGGAUGUAUAAGUCAUCGAAGUCAUACUACUAUAGCUAAAUAUGCUCAAUAUCAAGCAUCUAGUUUUCAAGAUAGUCUCAAAGAAGAACGUGAAAAGACACAGGGUAUUCAUACUGCUAAUUUAUCAGAUUCUGAUUCUAAAGAUAGUACGGGUGUUGUAAAAAGAAAAAAGAAUGCUUAUGGAUUACCAGGGCGUCCAGGUUCUAAAAUGUUACGAUUUGGUACAAAUGUCGAUCUUUCUGAUGAAAGAAAAUGGAAAUCUCAACUCAAAGAACUUAUGAAAUUACCUGCCUUUGCUAGAGUUGUGUCUGCUGGUAACAUGCUAAGUCAUGUUGGGCAUGUUAUUCUUGGUAUGAAUACAGUUCAAUUAUACAUGAAAGUGCCUGGAAGUAGAACUCCUGGUCAUCAGGAAAAUAAUAACUUUUGUUCUAUAAAUAUUAAUAUUGGUCCUGGUGAUUGUGAAUGGUUCGCAGUACCCGAUGCUUAUUGGGGAGUAAUUUGUAGUUUAUGUGAACGUAAUAAUAUUAAUUAUUUACAUGGAAGUUGGUGGCCAUCACUUGAAGAUUUGUAUGAGGAAAAUAUUCCUGUAUACAGGUUUCUUCAACGACCUGGUGAUCUUGUAUGGGUUAAUGCUGGUUGUGUUCAUUGGGUACAAGCUGUUGGUUGGUGUAACAAUAUUGCUUGGAAUGUUGGACCGUUAACUGCACGUCAAUAUCAACUGGCUAUUGAAAGAUAUGAAUGGAAUAAAUUACAAUCAUUCAAAUCUAUUGUUCCUAUGGUUCAUCUAUCAUGGAAUUUAGCUAGGAAUAUUAAAGUUUCGGAUCCACGUUUAUUUGAGCUUAUUAAAAAUUGUUUACUCCGAACAAUGCGACACUGUUGUUUAAUAUUAGAAUUUGUUAAAAAUAAAGGCGUAGAAGUGAGAUUUCAUGGCAGAGGAAAAAAUGAAGCUUCUCAUUAUUGUGGACAAUGUGAGAUUGAAGUAUUUAAUAUUCUCUUUAUAAGAGAACAAGAAAAACGUCAUGUAGUCCAUUGUAUGGAUUGCGCUCGGAAACAAUCACCAUCACUCGAAGGCUUUGUAUGUCUGGAAGAAUAUCGUAUGCGGGAUCUUAUGGACGUUUAUGAUGGUUUUACACUUCAUACACCUGCAAUUACAACUGCAAUUUUAUCACAAUCCAAUUUAACAUCCUGAGAAUCCUAUAUGCAUCAUAAAUAUUUAAAUUUUUUGAUGACUUUAUCAUCAGUUAAUCAAGUCAACACAUGAAAGAAUUUUUAAUAAUAAUAAAAAAAAAAGUGACAAAAAAAGACAACAAGCCUCGUCCAUGUACCUGAGUUACUUUGAAAUAAAAACAGAAAAAAGGAAAAAAAUAAAGAAAAAAAAAUAUUUAUAGA